rnacentral:rRNA from 1 species
UACGUAGGGUGCGAGCGUUGUCCGGAAUUAUUGGGCGUAAAGAGCGUGUAGGCGGUUCGGUAGGUCCGUUGUGAAAACUCGAGGCUCAACCUCGAGACGCCGAUGGAAACCCUCGAACUAGAGUCCGGAAGAGGAGAGUGGAAUUCCUGGUGUAGCGGUGAAAUGCGCAGAUAUCAGGAAGAACACCCGUGGCUAAGGCGGCUCUCUAGUACGGUACUGACGCUGAGACGCGAAAGCGUGGGGAGCGAACAGG